rnacentral:rRNA from 1 species
ACGGGGGGGGCAAGCGUUGUUCGGAAUUACUGGGCGUAAAGGGCUCGUAGGCGGCCAACUAAGUCGGACGUGAAAUCCCCAGGCUCAACCUGGGAACUGCGUCUGAUACUGGAUGGCUUGAAUCCGGGAGAGGGAUGCAGAAUUCCAGGUGUAGCGGUGAAAUGCGCAGAGAUCGGGAGGAACACCCGUAGCGAAGGCGGCGCUCUGGGCCGGUACUGACGCUGAGGAGCGAAAGCGUGGGGAGCAAACAGGA